GCAGGUCUUAGCGGUGCCCUUACAGUAUGCUCAUGGUACAGCAGGUCUUAGCGGUGCCCUUACAGUAUGCUCAUGGUACAGCAGGUCUUAGCGGUGCCCUUACAGUAUGCUCAUGGUACAGCAGGUCUUAGCGGUGCCCUUACAGUAUGCUCAUGGUACAGCAGGUCUUAGCGGUGCCCUUACAGUAUGCUCAUGGUACAGCAGGUCUUAGCGGUGCCCUUACAGUAUGCUCAUGGUACAGCAGGUCUUAGCGGUGCCCUUACAGUAUGCUCAUGGUAUAGCAGGUCUUAGCGGUGCCCUUACAGUAUGCUCAUGGUAUAGCAGGUCUUAGCGGUGCCCUUACAGUAUGCUCAUGGUACAGCAGGUAUUAGCGGUGCCCUUACAGUAUGCUCAUGGUAUAGCAGGUCUUAGCGGUGCCCUUACAGUAUGCUCAUGGUAUAGCAGGUGUUCGCGGUGCCCUUACAGUAUGCUCAUGUUAUAGCAGGUCUUAGCGGUGCCCUUACAGUAUGCUCAUGGUACAGCAGGUCCUAGCGGUGCCCUUACAGUAUGCUCAUGGUAUAGCAGGUGUUCGCGGUGCCCUUACAGUAUGCUCAUGGUAUAGCAGGUCUUAGCGGUGCCCUUACAGUAUGCUCAUGGUACAGCAGGUCCUAGCGGUGCCCUUACAGUAUGCUCAUGGUAUAGCAGGUGUUCGCGGUUCCCUUACAGUAUGCUAAUGGUAUAGCAGGUGUUCGCGGUGCCCUUACAGUAUGCUCAUGGUAUAGCAGGUCUUAGCGGUGCCCUUACAGUAUGCUCAUGGUAUAGCAGGUCUUAGCGGUGCCCUUACAGUAUGCUCAUGGUAUAGCAGGUCUUAGCGGUGCCCUUACAGUAUGCUCAUGGUAUAGCAGGUGUUCGCGGUGCCCUUACAGUAUGCUCAUGGUAUAGCAGGUCCUAGCGGUGCCCUUACAGUAUGCUCAUGGUACAGCAGGUCUUAGCGGUGCCCUUACAGUAUGCUCAUGGUAUAGCAGGUCUUAGCGGUGCCCUUACAGUAUGCUCAUGGUACCGCAGGUGUUCGCGGUGCCCUUACAGUAUGCUCAUGGUACAGCAGGUGUUCGCGGUGCCCUUACAGUAUGCUCAUGGUACAGCAGGUGUUCGCGGUGCCCUUACAGUAUGCUCAUGGUACAACAGGUCUUAGCGGUGCCCUUACAGUAUGCUCAUGGUACAGCAGGUCUUAGCGGUGCCCUUACAGUAUGCUCAUGGUAUAGCAGGUGUUCGCGGUGCCCUUACAGUAUGCUCAUGGUAUAGCAGGUCCUAGCGGUGCCCUUACAGUAUGCUCAUGGUAUAGCAGGUGUUCGCGGUGCCCUUACAGUAUGCUCAUGGUAUAGCAGGUCUUAGCGGUGCCCUUACAGUAUGCUCAUGGUAUAGCAGGUCCUAGCGGUGCCCUUACAGUAUGCUCAUGGUACAGCAGGUCUUAGCGGUGCCCUUACAGUAUGCUCAUGGUAUAGCAGGUGUUCGCGGUGCCCUUACAGUAUGCUCAUGGUAUAGCAGGUCUUCGCGGUGCCCUUACAGUAUGCUCAUGGUACAGCAGGUCUUAGCGGUGCCCUUACAGUAUGCUCAUGGUAUAGCAGGUCCUAGCGGUGCCCUUACAGUAUGCUCAUGGUACAGCAGGUCUUAGCGGUGCCCUUACAGUAUGCUCAUGGUACAGCAGGUGUUCGCGGUGCCCUUACAGUAUGCUCAUGGAACAACAGGUCUUAGCGGUGCCCUUACAGUAUGCUCAUGGUAUAGCAGGUGUUCGCGGUGCCCUUACAGUAUGCUCAUGGUAUAGCAGGUGUUCGCGGUGCCCUUACAGUAUGCUCAUGGUAUAGCAGGUGUUCGCGGUGCCCUUACAGUAUGCUCAUGGUAUAGCAGGUGUUCGCGGUGCCCUUACAGUAUGCUCAUGGUAUAGCAGGUGUUCGCGGUGCCCUUACAGUAUGCUCAUGGUAUAGCAGGUGUUCGCGGUGCCCUUACAGUAUGCUCAUGGUAUAGCAGGUGUUCGCGGUGCCCUUACAGUAUGCUCAUGGUAUAGCAGGUGUUCGCGGUGCCCUUACAGUAUGCUCAUGGUAUAGCAGGUGUUCGCGGUGCCCUUACAGUAUGCUCAUGGUAUAGCAGGUGUUCGCGGUGCCCUUACAGUAUGCUCAUGGUACAGCAGGUCCUAGCGGUGCCCUUACAGUAUGCUCAUGGUAUAGCAGGUCUUAGCGGUGCCCUUACAGUAUGCUCAUGGUAUAGCAGGUCCUAGCGGUGCCCUUACAGUAUGCUCAUGGUAUAGCAGGUGUUCGCGGUGCCCUUACAGUAUGCUCAUGGUAUAGCAGGUGUUCGCGGUGCCCUUACAGUAUGCUAAUGGUAUAGCAGGUCCUAGCGGUGCCCUUACAGUAUGCUCAUGGUAUAGCAGGUGUUCGCGGUGCCCUUACAGUAUGCUCAUGGUAUAGCAGGUGUUCGCGGUGCCCUUACAGUAUGCUAAUGGUACAGCAGGUCCUAGCGGUGCCCUUACAGUAUGCUCAUGGUAUAGCAGGUCCUAGCGGUGCCCUUACAGUAUGCUCAUGGUAUAGCAGGUCCUAGCGGUGCCCUUACAGUAUGCUCAUGGUACAGCAGGUCUUAGCGGUGCCCUUACAGUAUGCUCAUGGUAUAGCAGGUCCUAGCGGUGCCCUUACAGUAUGCUCAUGGUAUAGCAGGUCCUAGCGGUGCCCUUACAGUAUGCUCAUGGUACAGCAGGUCUUAGCGGUGCCCUUACAGUAUGCUCAUGGUAUAGCAGGUCCUAGCGGUGCCCUUACAGUAUGCUCAUGGUAUAGCAGGUCCUAGCGGUGCCCUUACAGUAUGCUCAUGGUAUAGCAGGUCCUAGCGGUGCCCUUACAGUAUGCUCAUGGUAUAGCAGGUCCUAGCGGUGCCCUUACAGUAUGCUCAUGGUAUAGCAGGUCCUAGCGGUGCCCUUACAGUAUGCUCAUGGUAUAGCAGGUCCUAGCGGUGCCCUUACAGUAUGCUCAUGGUACAGCAGGUCUUAGCGGUGCCCUUACAGUAUGCUCAUGGUAUAGCAGGUCCUAGCGGUGCCCUUACAGUAUGCUCAUGGUAUAGCAGGUCCUAGCGGUGC